GAGCUCACUUCGGCAGCACAUAUACUAAAAACGGAAUGACACAGAGGAGAUUAGCAUGGCCCCUGCGCAAGGAUGACACACAAAUUUGUGAAGCAUUCCAUAAAAUA
rnacentral:snRNA from 1 species